ensembl:snRNA
GUGUUGUAUGAAAGGAAAGAAGUUUAGCACUCCCUUUGACAAAGAUGAAAGAGGUCCUUGGGCCUAACAACACUCAUAGAGUUAAGGCAUUGCCACAAACUUUGUGGCAUUUAACACUAUUUUUUU